rnacentral:lncRNA from 1 species
UGGAAAUGCAAGGCUGCAAAGUCCCUAGGUGGAAAGGUCUCAAGGUCUCACACCCCUAUCAGCCAGAUUACCAUUCAUGUGGAGCAUUCAUGUGCAAAGUAGGUGGACAUUGGAGACAUGACUUUGAUCAUUCUCCUGUAAAGGUACUGUUCCUGUAAUAGUGUGUUUUAGACUGGUCCUAGUUACUGCCACAGUGUGAAUUGAAUGCCAAAUUUCAGAUUUAUUUUGUCAGUUUGCAGAGUACCUUCUACGAGGUGAAAACAUGUAUUUCUCUACACAAAUGGAACACCUGGACCAAAUGUUCCCUGAAAUAGCCCUGCACUUGACGUUCUAAUCAUUGACAAAUGCAUUUAAAUAUGCCUCUCUCCACAGAACAUCAACAGACUGUGCAGAGUGUGUGAAAAAAGAACCACACCUGAUGGAACAACAGAAACUAUAUGGCUGCCACCGAUGGUUCCACAUUGCAUGUGUGGCUUGACCUUCAGUGUCCCAUUCUCUAUGUUUUGUAGGUCAGAGUGAGCCGCAACCCAUUGAUGAAGCUGCGGACCAACAUUUGUCGUUUUUGUGGCUGGGGAAGAACAGCAUUUUAAAUGUAUUUUUCAAUUGAUAAGGCCGGGAAGAACAGCAUUUAAAAUGUAUUUCUCAAUUGAUGAGGCUGGGUAUGAACAGCAUUUUUUGUUGUUGUCAUAUGCAAGUGUCUUUUCGAGCAGUUAGAGGUGAUCUACACUGUCUGAGAAAGGGAUACUUCCCCAUGUUGUCUCCAAUGCUUCCCACAGUUGUGUCAAGUUGGCUGGAUGUCCUUUGGGUGGUGGACCAUUCUUGAUACACACGGGAAACUGUUGAGCGUGAAAAACCAAGCAGCGUGGCAGUUCUUGACACAAACCGCUGUGCCUGGCACCUACUACCAUACCCUGUUCAAAGGCACUUAAAUGUUUUGCCCAUUCACCCUCUGAAUAGCACACAUACACAAUCCAUGUCUUAAUUGUCUCAAGGCUCAAAAAUCAUUCUUUAACCUGUCUCUUCUCCUUUAUCUACACUGAUUUGAAGUGGAUUUAACAAGUGACAUCAGUAAGGGAUCAUAGCUUUCACCUUGAUUCACCUGGUCAGUCUAUGUGAUGUUUUAAAUGUUUUGUACACUCAGUGUUUUUGCAUGUCUUAAUAAUAAUAAUAACCGUAUGAUAUAAUAACCACGGCAGCCAGCA